UACGAAGGGGGCGAGCGUUGUUCGGAUUUACUGGGCGUAAAGGGCGCGUAGGCGGGUUGGUAAGUCUUAUGUGAAAUCUACAGGCUCAACUUGUAGUCUGCAUGAGAAACUGCCGGGCUUGAGUAUGGGAGAGGUGAGUGGAAUUCCUGGUGUAGCGGUGAAAUGCGUAGAUAUCAGGAGGAACACCUGUGGCGAAAGCGGCUCACUGGACCAUAACUGACGCUGAUGCACGAAAGCUAGGGGAGCAAACAGG
rnacentral:rRNA from 1 species